AGAGUUUGAUCCUGGCUCAGGAUGAACGCUAGCUACAGGCUUAACACAUGCAAGUCGCGGGGCAGCAUGAAGGAUGCUUGCAUUCUUUGAUGGCGACCGGCGCACGGGUGAGUAACGCGUAUCCAACCUGCCUGUUACCACGGCACAGCCCGUCGAAAGGCGGAUUAAUGCCGUAUGUGGUCCUUUGCGGGCAUCUAAUUAGGACUAAAGGUUCAGCGGUAACGGAUGGGGAUGCGUCCGAUUAGCUAGACGGCGGGGUAACGGCCCACCGUGGCGACGAUCGGUAGGGGUUCUGAGAGGAAGGUCCCCCACACUGGAACUGAGACACGGUCCAGACUCCUACGGGAGGCAGCAGUGAGGAAUAUUGGUCAAUGGGCGUAAGCCUGAACCAGCCAAGUAGCGUGAGGGAAGACUGCCCUAUGGGUUGUAAACCUCUUUUGUGCGGGGAUAAAGUGUGGGACGUGUCCCAUAUUGCAGGUACCGCACGAAUAAGGACCGGCUAAUUCCGUGCCAGCAGCCGCGGUAAUACGGAAGGUCCGGGCGUUAUCCGGAUUUAUUGGGUUUAAAGGGAGCGCAGGCCGUCCUUUAAGCGUGCUGUGAAAUGCCGCGGCUCAACCGUGGCACUGCAGCGCGAACUGGAGGACUUGAGUACGCACGAGGUAGGCGGAAUUCGUGGUGUAGCGGUGAAAUGCUUAGAUAUCACGAAGAACUCCGAUUGCGAAGGCAGCUUACCGGAGCGCAACUGACGCUGAGGCUCGAAAGCGCGGGUAUCGAACAGGAUUAGAUACCCUGGUAGUCCGCGCGGUAAACGAUGGAUGCCCGCCGUUGGGUUUUAGAAUUCAGCGGCCAAGCGAAAGCGUUAAGCAUCCCACCUGGGGAGUACGCCGGCAACGGUGAAACUCAAAGGAAUUGACGGGGGCCCGCACAAGCGGAGGAACAUGUGGUUUAAUUCGAUGAUACGCGAGGAACCUUACCCGGGCUUGAAU
rnacentral:rRNA from 1 species